rnacentral:rRNA from 1 species
UACGUAGGGUGCAAGCGUUGUCCGGAAUUAUUGGGCGUAAAGAGCUCGUAGGCGGUCUGUCGCGUCUGCUGUGAAAACCUAGGGCUUAACCCUGGGCCUGCAGUGGGUACGGGCAGACUAGAGUGCGGUAGGGGAGACUGGAAUUCCUGGUGUAGCGGUGAAAUGCGCAGAUAUCAGGAGGAACACCGGUGGCGAAGGCGGGUCUCUGGGCCGUAACUGACGCUGAGGAGCGAAAGCGUGGGGAGCGAACAGG